rnacentral:tRNA from 1 species
AUCUUUAGCUCAGUUGGUUAGAGCAACCGGCUCAUAACCGGCAUGUCCUGGGUUCGAAUCCUAGAAGAU